CCCGCUCACGCCCGGAGCAGAAGACCCGGCGCCUCCCGCUGCUGUCCCAGCUCCGAAAGGAGUCACGGACCGAGUACAGGAGGAGCCCCUCAACUUUUCACACCCCCUUGUCUCCCUCAGGGAAAAGCAGGGGACUCGGGAAGCUGAAGGGACGGAGGGGCGAGUGGCCUUGGAGAACAGACUCCGUGCUUAUGCCACUGCGGGCCUGACACUAGGGAGGGCAGAAGUUGGAGCCACAGGAAAGGUCGGCUAACUAACACGCACAGCGGCCAGCGCCUUUCUCCCUUAAAAACGAAGAGCGGCGGCUCAGACUCCGCCCUUCCCAGCCGGAGCUGCCCGGGACAGGGAGUGAUUUGGAGGCUGCUUUUAAUGAGGGCUUCGUGGCCAACAUCCCAACGCAGCAAGGACCACAUCCCUGUGACGUGAGAAGUGGGAGAAAGGAGAGCUGUCAUUAGCUUAGCAUGCUCCAUUUCCCUCUCAAAACAGAUUCUGUGUAAAAUCUAAAUUAAAAGAGACAAGAGCGAUGCGGUUACUUGUUUUCCCCCAAAUAACACCACCGCAAGAUGCCUUGGAAGGCAAAGUGUUGAAUGUUUUGCUGAUUUCCUAAGCCUACAGAAUGGUUAAGCUGUAAACACACACACACACACAGAGAGACACACAGAGGAAAGAGACAGACACAGAGACUCAGAAACAGAGAGUGUGUUUUACUUCCCAUGGGAACUAAUUGGAAAAGAAGUUAAAGACAGAGCUAUGACCACAGAACGGCAGUCAGCUGGAAGGCACUGUCUCUAUCUAGAAUGAUUCUCCCUGGAUGGUGUCUCUAGAUAAAUUUAUUUGUUGUGAUUCAAGUAAGGAAAAAUGAAUGAUGGAGAUCCUAAGAGACCUAUUUUGCCCCCAAAUGUCCCUAGAUUUGGUUACAGGUACACUACAUGAUUGCAAGACAUCUGAAGACCAUGCCUGUGUCACUCUGAGAUACCUUUCCCCGGCACGGGUUGAGUACCUCAGUGUGCAUGACUAAUUUUAGGAGCGAUCUGGAUGUGUUUGACAUUUCUAUCAUGGGUGGCCAGACCUUCUCCUUAGGGACAAGCCAGAAGUCCACCUGAAGAAAGCUUUUACCAGCCUGGAAGCUGUGAGUGAGACUGUGAACAGAAGAAGCCUUUGGGAACCCAGCUCUUCCUGUGUGCCCCUCACGAUGGGCUCUGCUUCAGAAAGGACCGGCCACCUCAGAAAGGCUCAUCAGCCAUUGGCUUUGUCACUCCUGAGUAGCACCCUCUAUCAGCUGCCAACUGGUCCCUAUCUAAGCCAAGCUGAGGUAUUCCAAGAAGGGAUCCAGAGGGAAGGGAAAAGAGAGGGUGGCGAAGAAGCAAGAGGAAGGUGGGGGAAAGCUUGCACUGAAAGGCCUGUAGUUUUGUUUCCAUAUUUAAACAAAAUGGCGUGGCGGUACCAUCUACAUUCCCAAAUAAUCUUGACUGGAAUGCAAAGGAGAAAAAGAAGGGGGGUGAGGUGGGGGCAUUUGGCUUUACUUGUUCAUGGGUGAGUAGGCAAUGGAGCCCAAAGACUAGGGUCAAACUCAGGGCCUCUCCUGGGCCCAGAUCUACAAAGUCUCAUCUCUUGCUCCAUAAAAUAAAUAUGUAACCUGGCCAGAUGAAAAAGGAGGCGGGUCUUAAGGUUAAGUGUUAUCACAUCUCUCAAACUAUGAUUUCAAUCCAUGCUGAAAAAUUCACUGAACAUGCAAUUUAGUAGUUUCAAAUCACUUUCAGAAAUCCUCAACCACCUUCCUCAUAACAGUGAAAACAGACUUCUCAAAAGUGACCUGAAGUAAAGGGAAUGUGAGAGGAAACACUGACGGGCUAGGGGUAGUCCACAAUGUGUGAGGGUUGUGGUUACGAACAGUAUCAUCCUGAGAAAGUUUGACUUUACACUUAAGAAAAAUGAAGGACUAUUCUAUGAAGGCCCUAAUUUGAUAAGAGAAACUCAGAUACUGUGAGAAAAAUAUAGACGGCCCACAGACAUCAACUCCAGAUGACUAAGAAAGAAAACCAUGAACUAAGUGCCUGGUUUUUCUUUGAAACACUCAGACUACACUUCUUUAGAAGAGGGAUUAUUUUCGCAAGUGCAUUCAGUAAUCUGGACAUUUGGUCAGUGUGCAUGGUAAUGCCAGGGAGGAUCAUUUCCAUAUGUUAGAAAUGGUUUGGAAUGAUAACAUGGAUUAUGCAGACAAGUAAUUACUUCUCGAUCUCUUCAGUGAUAGUUAUUUGAUUCUUGCUAGGAUGAAACUGAAAAUGCUACUGCCAAGUCUUGUUCUGUUUUAGCACUGGAGGUCCCAGAGAGCAUUUGAACAGACUCCUUCCCCCUUUCUUUUGAAAGAGAAAAGAUCUAGGUUGGGAGGAGUGCUUGCCUGACACAUUUGAUGCCCUGUGGUCCAAGGGUAGGAAGAUGCAGAGCUGAGAGAAAUGUGACUUGCCAGGGCACUAUGGCUGGAUAGUGGCUGAGCCCAUUAGCAGAGUUCCGCUGGCUUGUGAGCAUUGUGCUUUCCAGUACAGAUACUCUGCCUUGGAUUAUGAGUCAUAGGAAUUACAGGAAAAGGCCAGAUGUGAUACAGAGUUAAGUUACAGAGCUGGCACAAUGGAACUGAACAGGACCCAAAGCCACAGGUUGUAUGACACCAUAUGAAACAGGCUAUGAUUGAGGUCCAGUGCAACCGUGAACUUGUUGUUAGGUAACUAGCCUAGAGUGCUAAGGAACUGUGCUGUCCUUCCAGAUGAGUUAAUGGACUUCCUGUUUCAUCACCCUUCAGAGUAGCUGGGGCCCACUGAAGCCAGGAGUUAUCCUAUAGAUUAUAGCAACAGCAUUUCCUGCCAUUCCCAAAUGUAAGAGACUUUGAACUUACUUUCUUUUUUUAAAGAUGGAGGCUGGAGUGGGGGGACUUGUGACAAGAACAUUAUUAAAACUGAAUUAUUCAA